GGCAACCUGGUGGCGAGUGGCGAACGGGUGAGUAAUAUAUCGGAACGUACCCUAGAGUGGGGGAUAACGUAGCGAAAGUUACGCUAAUACCGCAUACGAUCUACGGAUGAAAGCAGGGGACCGCAAGGCCUUGCGCUCAUGGAGCGGCCGAUAUCUGAUUAGCUAGUUGGUAGGGUAAAAGCCUACCAAGGCAUCGAUCAGUAGCUGGUCUGAGAGGACGACCAGCCACACUGGGACUGAGACACGGCCCAAACUCCUACGGGAGGCAGCAGUGGGGAAUUUUGGACAAUGGGGGCAACCCUGAUCCAGCAAUGCCGCGUGAGUGAAGAAGGCCUUCGGGUUGUAAAGCUCUUUUGUCAGGGAAAAAACGGUUUGGGCUAAUACUCUGAACUAAUGACGGUACCUGAAGAAUAAGCACCGGCUAACUACGUGCCAGCAGCCGCGGUAAUACGUAGGGUGCAAGCGUUAAUCGGAAUUACUGGGCGUAAAGCGUGCGCAGGCGGUUAUGUAAGACAGAUGUGAAAUGCCCGGGCUUAACCUGGGAACUGCAUUUGUGACUGCAUGGCUAGAGUGUGUCAGAGGGGGGUAGAAUUCCACGUGUAGCAGUGAAAUGCGUAGAUAUGUGGAGGAAUACCGAUGGCGAAGGCAGCCCCCUGGGAUAACACUGACGCUCAUGCACGAAAGCGUGGGGAGCAAACAGGAUUAGAUACCCUGAUAGUC
rnacentral:rRNA from 1 species